GAUGAACGCUGGCGGCGUGCCUAAUACAUGCAAGUCGAGCGAACAGACGAGGAGCUUGCUCCUCUGACGUUAGCGGCGGACGGGUGAGUAACACGUGGAUAACCUACCUAUAAGACUGGGAUAACUUCGGGAAACCGGAGCUAAUACCGGAUAAUAUAUUGAACCGCAUGGUUCAAUAGUGAAAGACGGUUUUGCUGUCACUUAUAGAUGGAUCCGCGCCGCAUUAGCUAGUUGGUAAGGUAACGGCUUACCAAGGCAACGAUGCGUAGACGACCUGAGAGGGGGAUCGGCCACACUGGAACUGGGACACGGUCAAGACUCCUGCGGGAGGGACCAGUAGGGAAUCGUCCGCAAUGGGCGGAAGCCUGACGGAGCAACGCCGCGUGAGUGAUGAAGGUCUUCGGAUCGUAAAACUCUGUUAUUAGGGAAGAACAAAUGUGUAAGUAACUAUGCGCGGCUUGACGGUACCUAAUCAGAAAGCCACGGCUAACUACGUG
rnacentral:rRNA from 1 species